rnacentral:rRNA from 1 species
UACGUAGGGUGCAAGCGUUGUCCGGAAUUAUUGGGCGUAAAGGGCUCGUAGGCGGUUUGUCGCGUCGGGAGUGAAAACUCAGGGCUUAACCCUGAGCCUGCUUCCGAUACGGGCAGACUAGAGGUAUGCAGGGGAGAAUGGAAUUCCUGGUGUAGCGGUGAAAUGCGUAGAGAUCGGGAGGAAUACCGGUGGCGAAAGCGACUCUCUGGACGGCAACUGACGCUGAGGCACGAAAGCGUGGGGAGCAAACAGG